CUAAUUCUCAGUUAACUGUUCAUCGGCUUAGUAACAAUGCCGGCUCAAGCCGAGCCGACAUUGUGAAAUUACGGUUUUGCCCUCCGUUCUUUGCUUAAUUGCGGUUUGCUGUUUGGCCUGGGUAUAAAACGCGCUGAGGUGAUAGAAGCGACCCUUUUCCCCUUUCUUCGUUCUUGGCUGAUCUCUGUGUUUCUGUUGUUGAUAGAGUGAAAGAGAGGGAGAGAAUUGCAGCGAAUAGGAGUUCAUGUUAGCAACGAGAGGGAAGACGAAGAUUGUAAUUAGAUCGAGGAAAGCAGGAGAGUACUUUCUUUGGCGAUUUUGGGUUUGUUGGAAACUCAAGAGGUGUUGGGCUCAUUGUCGCGAUCUUCUGUCUCUCUCUUUUUCUCUUCCUUUUUGGCUGGGUUCUUCGCAUGUAGAGGAGGGCGAGAGUGAAUACUGGGCAGAAAAGAGUGCCUAAAACUACAUGUAAAACCUGAUUUUCAUCCUUCUAUACCUAUAGUUAUGAAUAACUAUGAUCUGGAGGUAAAGAUUAGGAGGUGGGUAAGCUAUUGAUUAAGCAUAUUGGCUUCGAUUCUGCAUGUUGGAUUCCUCUAACUUGCUUAUGAAUGAUUGUAUUAUAUGAUUUGGUUUGUGAAUGAUGUGGCUGAUUUGUGGGGUAAUCGUUUAUUGUGUAGAUUUUGUUGGAUGCUUUACAGAGUAUACGAUCUUGGAGGAGAGGAGCUCUUGCUUGCUUGAAAGAAGGAGAGGGGAUGUUGCUUGGUUGAAAGAAAAGAGGUGGAAGGGAUUUAAAUGGACGGGAAUGGGAGGUGGCAGUAUUGCUUUUUCCUCUAAUUUUUGGACUGUUGUUCUUUGUUUACUUCUCUUGAGGAAUAGUGUUGGCUAAAGGGAGUGAUUACAUAACCUGGAUAUUGUGCUUUUUAGUUUAUUUGAAGGGUUAAAAAAGACCCACUUUAGAUUGUUAAGGAUUCUGCGCCAUUCAAUGUGUUUAGAGAAGUGAAGGUGUCUGAUAAGAAGAAGAUUAUUGUAUCAGAAAUGGAGGCAGCAACUUUUUGGACAACCUCCACAGCUAAUCAUCACUAGCCUAACAACCUCUCAGCAACUGAUGUCACUUUUGAUAUAGUCACUAGGUUAGCCUAAGUAGAUCACUGUAUUUUGGAGAAGCUGUUUUAACAGCAUUUGUAAUAUAUAUUUGAACAUUACCAGAACAUCUAUAUUAAUGGUAAUGUUAGCUCCUGAUAUGGAGCAUGAAUCGAUGUAUUUUUGAGAAGCUGUUUUAACAGCAGUUGUUUUAUAUAUAUAAACUAAAUUUUCUGUC